rnacentral:rRNA from 1 species
AUAUAAGCCCACGGGUCGGCAUCGACCAGAGGGAAAAGGAGCAAUCCGCUUUGAGAUGGCCUCGCGUCCGAUUAGCUGGUUGGUGAGGUAACGGCCCACCAAGGCGACGAUCGGUAGCCGGACUGAGAGGUUGAACGGCCACAUUGGGACUGAGACACGGCCCAGACUCCUACGGGAGGCAGCAGUGGGGAAUAUUGCACAAUGGGGGAAACCCUGAUGCAGCGACGCCGCGUGGAGGAAGAAGGUCUUCGGAUUGUAAACUCCUGUUGUUGGGGAAGAUAAUGACGGUACCCAACAAGGAAGUGACGGCUAACUACGUGCCAGCAGCCGCGGUAAAACGUAGGUCACAAGCGUUGUCCGGAAUUACUGGGUGUAAAGGGAGCGCAGGCGGGAAGACAAGUUGGAAGUGAAAUCCAUGGGCUCAACCCAUGAACUGCUUUCAAAACUGUUUUUCUUGAGUAGUGCAGAGGUAGGCGGAAUUCCCGGUGUAGCGGUGGAAUGCGUAGAUAUCGGGAGGAACACCAGUGGCGAAGGCGGCCUACUGGGCACCAACUGACGCUGAGGCUCGAAAGUGUGGGUAGCAAACAGGAUUAGAUACCCUGGUAGUCCACACCGUAAACGAUGAUUACUAGGUGUUGGAGGAUUGACCCCUUCAGUGCCGCAGUUAACACAAUAAGUAAUUCACCUGGGGAGUACGACCGCAAGGUUGAAACUCAAAGGAAUUGACGGGGGCCCGCACAAGCAGUGGGGUAUGUGGUUUAAUUCGACGCAACGCGAAGAACCUUACCAAGUCUUGACAUCCGUUGACCGUCAUAGAAAUAUGUUUUUCCUUCGGGACAGCGAGACAGGUGGUGCAUGGUUGUCGUCAGCUCGUGUCGUGAGAUGUUGGGUUAAGACCCGCAACGAGCGCAACCCUUAUGGUCAGUUACUACGCAAGAGGACUCUGGCCAGACUGCCGUUGACAAAACGGAGGAAGGUGGGGAUGACGUCAAAUCAUCAUGCCCUUUAUGACUUGGGCUACACACGUACUACAAUGGCGUUAAACAAAGAGAAGCAAGACCGCGAGGUGGAGCAAAACUCAGAAACAACGUCCCAGUUCGGACUGCAGGCUGCAACUCGCCUGCACGAAGUCGGAAUUGCUAGUAAUCGUGGAUCAGCAUGCCACGGUGAAUACGUUCCCGGGCCUUGUACACACCGCCCGUCACACCAUGAGAGCCGGGGGGACCCGAAGUCGGUAGUCUAACCGCAAGGAGGACGCCGCCGAAGGUAAAACUGGUGAUUGGGGUGAAGUCGUAACAAGGU